AGCUUUGCGCAGUGGCAGUAUCGUAGCCAAUGAGGUUUAUCCGAGGCGCGAUUAUUGCUAUUUGAGAGAAAGAGAGAGAAAGAGCAGGAGUUGGGGGGCGGGGGGUGGGGAGAGGCAGGAACCUUGAUGCAAGGCUUAAUCCUUGGAUCCUGGGAUC
rnacentral:snRNA from 1 species